rnacentral:rRNA from 1 species
UACGUAGGUGGCGAGCGUUGUCCGGAUUUAUUGGGCGUAAAGCGCGCGUAGGCGGCCCGAUAAGUCCGCUGUGAAAGUCAACGGCUCAACUGUUGGAUGCCGGUGGAUACUGUCGGGCUAGAGUACGGAAGAGGCAAGUGGAAUUCCUGGUGUAGCGGUGGAAUGCGCAGAGUAUCAGGAGGAACACCUAUAGCGAAGGCAGCUUGCUGGGACGUUACUGACGCUAAGGCGCGAAAGCGUGGGGAGCGAACGAGG